rnacentral:rRNA from 1 species
GGCAGACGGGUGAGUAACGCGUGGGAAUCUACCGUACCCUACGGAAUAACGCAUGGAAACGUGUGCUAAUACCGUAUACGCCCUACGGGGGAAAGAUUUAUCGGGGUAUGAUGAGCCCGCGUUGGAUUAGCUAGUUGGUGGGGUAAAGGCCUACCAAGGCGACGAUCCAUAGCUGGUCUGAGAGGAUGAUCAGCCACAUUGGGACUGAGACACGGCCCAAACUCCUACGGGAGGCAGCAGUGGGGAAUAUUGGACAAUGGGCGCAAGCCUGAUCCAGCCAUGCCGCGUGAGUGAUGAAGGCCCUAGGGUUGUAAAGCUCUUUUGUGCGGGAAGAUAAUGACUGUACCGCAAGAAUAAGCCCCGGCUAACUUCGUGCCAGCAGCCGCGGUAAUACGAAGGGGGCUAGCGUUGCUCGGAAUCACUGGGCGUAAAGGGUGCGUAGGCGGGUCUUUAAGUCAGGGGUGAAAUCCUGGAGCUCAACUCCAGAACUGCCUUUGAUACUGAGGAUCUUGAGUUCGGGAGAGGUGAGUGGAACUGCGAGCGUAGAGGUGAAAUUCGUAGAUAUUCGCAAGAACACCAGUGGCGAAGGCGGCUCACUGGCCCGAUACUGACGCUGAGGCACGAAAGCGUGGGGAGCAAACAGGAUUAGAUACCCUGGUAGUCCACGCCGUAAACGAUGAAUGCCAGCCGUUGGAAGGUUUACUUUUCAGUGGCGCAGCUAACGCUUUAAGCAUUCCGCCUGGGGAGUACGGUCGCAAGAUUAAAACUCAAAGGAAUUGA